CUCAGCCUGGAGCAACACUUGGAUGGUCCCCUCCCUGAUACAGACUGGAGCUUGCUGAACUGAGGGAGGGAAAAGGGGUCAGUGUCCCCUCCAUGAAAAAAGGUGGUCAAUAUGGGAGCCCGGACGCUCCCUUGCCACUGGGCACAUGGGGUAGCUGCUGCUACCAGAAUAUCUCCUGCAGUCUGGACUUCUGCACCCUGAUCCAGGAUCUCCCAAGGUAAGUCUCUCCCCCUUCUGAGCUGUCUGGUUCUGGAAGGUGAUUCAUCAGUGCAAAGGUAAUUCCCCUCACCAACCUGGGGGGCGUGGGUGUGGCUGUGGCUCACUCAGCUCAGUGCAACUGUCAGUCCACUUGUGGAGUCCAGUAAUCUGGACAUCUUCUCUGUUCUGAAGUCCAUCGGCGGGGGGCGGGGGGGAUGUUAGGGGAACCCAGGCCUACCCCCUCCACUGGGUUCCAGCUCAGGGCUGUCAAGCUAGGCAAGAAGAGUCAGGGUUUGCUGACUAACUGUGCCCUAAGCUCCUUCCUACCUUCCCUGGGGUCUCUGCAGGCAUCCUACCCGCAGCUUCUAGUCUCCUCUAGGCCAGGAGUCUCUCUUCCCUGAAUCCUUCUGCAGGAGAUGCUGGGGGAGAGGAGCUAGGGCUAGAGUGGGGUAGGCAACCUAUGGCACACGUGCUGAAGGCAGCACCCGAGCUGAUUUUCAGUGGCACUCACACUGCCUGGGUCCUGGCCACUGGUCCAGGGGGCUCUGCAUUUUAAUUUAAUUUUAAAUGAAGCUUCUUAAACAUUUUAAAAACCUUAUUUACUUUACACACAACAAUAAUUUAGUUAUAUAUUAUAGACUUAUAGAAAGAGACCUAAAACCAUUAAAAUGUAUUUACUGGCACGCAAAACCUUAAAUUAGAGUGAAUAAAUGAAGACUUGGCACAUCACUUCUGAAAGGUUGCCGACCCCUUAGCUAGACCCUUAGUUCUCCCUGCCCCCAAGGGAGCCUGGAGCAAAGGGAAGUGGGCAGGGCCCUCCAUGUAGACUUGCAUCCCCAGCUGCUCCAGGUUGUCAAUAAGGGACCCAAAGCCUGUCAUGACCCUGGCUGGAGCAGGGGUUGGAGCAUGGUCCCCUUAAAGGCCCAGGGUCACCACUGAACCAGGAAAAGAACUUGACUCAAGCCUAUUUCAUUCCCUGCUCUGACUCCCCCUCCCCACAGGGAACACUCCCAACCCUAAACCCCUGCAGCAGCAGAUCCUGCAGCCUGUUGGAGCCAGACCACCUACGUCUGGAGUCAGGAAGCUGUGGUCAGAGGUCGCUUACGUCAAAUUCAGGGAGAGUGAUGGUGAAUCUGAGCAAGGCUGUACUCUUCCUUAGGGCUCUGGCUCUCUCCUGGGAUACUGUGGAGUUGAUGUGCUGUGGGGGAAGGAGGCAGUUCAGGAUCAAUGGGUAGGCAUAGAUGCUGGGCAAAUGACCCUAUCCCCAUGGGGCUGAGACAUUGUGCCCAGGGAGGAAUAUCUGAUUCAUUGAUCACAGAGCUUUAGAAGGGAAUUGUUGCAUCCAGGACAAUGCUUAUAUGCUGCACGUCACAACUUGUCAUUGUCUCUCUAGACUGGAAGAACGUUCAGUGUCAGGGCUGGUCCCAUCUCUGAACCCAAUAUUCAUGAACAGCUCAUCAGGAAGGAGACAGCUGAUGGAAGAAAAGAUCUGAGGACUGGAGAUGCAGGUGGAAACUCUGGUCGAGUUUAGAAGGGGGUUCGAGCAGAUGAUGGAAGAAAGACAUGAGGAGGCUGAAGGGAUAAGCUCAGACUUGCAGAUGAAAGCAGGACCUAAGAAUUCUGAGGAGAGACUACUGGGUGAGGAACGUGGACGGUGGAAGCAUGUGACUAAGAGAACCAGGCAGAGGAAAAGACGGGCCAGCGAGGGAGAAAUAGAACUCAGGAACAGGUUUGCAGAGUUGGAAAAUGAAGAAGGGGCACAGCAGGUGGUCGCUGAAGGAGAGAGGGCAAGGAAAAAGAAGAGCUGCUAGUCCUACAGGAAGAGGGGAGGAGUCAAUGGAGACAACACCAAAUAUGAGCCCCAGGAGGAUACGGGAAGGGUUGCGGAGGAUUGCAAGGGCGAUUAGGAAUCGAGAGGACUUGCAGCCAGUGGGAGCAGGGGAUAGACCGGAGAAUCGCACUGUUACCAGGAAAAGGCAGGUCUACAUGACGGGAUUCCUUACUGAGAAGAAUAGAUAGGCCUGUAACUAGAGCUGAUCCAGAGAACAGAAGGGUGUGCUGUCUGCCGGGUGCUAAGAUACAGGAUGUGGACCUGAGGCUGAAAAGGAUCCUAGCGGGAGCGAGGAAGAAUCCGUUUAUUGUCCUUCAUGUGAGAACAUAUGAUACGGCUAGAUUCUCGCUGGAACGUAUCAAGGGAGACUAUACCAGACUGGGGAAGACACUUAAGGAAAUCGAGGCUCAGGUGAUCUUCAGUGGGAUUCUGCUGGUUCCUAGAGAAGGGCAACAAAGGUGUGACAAGAUUAUGGCUAUCAAUAGAUGGCUCAGGCAGUGAUGCUAUAAGGAGGGCUUUGGGAUGUACGGCCACUGGGAAGCAUUUAUGGACAGAAGACUGUUCUCUCGGGAUGGACUUCACCUGAAUAAGGAGGGACAUAGACUUCUAGGAUGGAGGCUCGCCCAACUGAUUAAGAGAGCUUUAAACUAGGAAUUUGGGGGAGAUGGUUGGGAGAUGUCCAGGUAAUCCCCACGCCAGAAUUUAACCUUGAGAGGGAAGAAAACAAAGUAAGAGAGGAUACAGCCGUGGACAGAAGAAGUGACCUAAGGAGGAAGGGUAGUGUAGAUACCAGUCUAAUAGGUGAUGCUGGUGGUAGAAUGUCUGUGCCCAACCGGGUAAAGAAUGUCAGUAAAGACAAACGGCAAAAAUUAAGAUGUCUGUACACUAAUGUGAGGAGCUUAGGUGACAAAAUGGAGGAACUAGAGCUACUGGUGCAGGAAGUGAAACCUGAUAUUAUAAGUAUAACAGAAACAUGGUGGAAUAGUAGUCAUGACUCGAGUACAGGUAUUGAAGGCUGUGUGCUGUUUAGGAAAGACAGAAAUAAAGGCAAAGUUGGAGGAGUAGCAUUGUAUAUCAAGGAUGAGGUUAACUGUAAAGAAAUAAGAAGUGAUGGAAUGGAAAGACAGAGUAUGUCUGGGCAAAAAUCACACUGGGAAAGAAAGCUAAUAGAGCCUCCCCUGAGAUAGUGCUUGGGGUGUGCUACAGACCGCCGGGAUCUGAUUUGGAUAUGGAUAGAGACCUUUUUAAUGUUUUUACUGAAGUAAACACUAAUGGGAAUUGUGUGAUCAUGGGAGACUUUAACUUCCCAGAUAUAGACUGGAGGACAAGUGCUAGUAUCAAUAAUAGGGCUCAGAUUUUUCUGGAUGUGAUAGCUGAUGGAUUUCUUCACCAAGUAGUUGAAGAACCAACAAGAGGGGAUGCCAUUUUAGAUUUGGUUUUGGUGAGUAGUGAGGACCUCAUAGAAGAAAUGGUUGACGGGGACAACCUUGGUUCGAGUGAUCAUGAGCUAAUUCAGUUCAAACUAGAUGGAAGGAUAAACAAAAUUAGAUCUGGGACUAGGGCUUUUGACUUCAAAAGGGCUAACUUUAAAGAAUUAAGGAAAUUAGUUAGGGAAGUGGAUUGGACUGAAGAACUUGUGGAUCUAAAGGCAGAGGAGGCCUGGAAUUACUUCAAGUCAAAGUUGCAGAAACCAUCAUAAGCCUGCAUCCCAAGAAAGGGGAAAAAACCAUAGGCAGGAGUUGCAGACCAGGCUGGAUGAACAAGCAUCUCAGAGAGGUGAUUAAGAAAAAGCAGAAAGCCUACAAGGAGUGGAAGAUGGGAGGGAUUAGCAAGGAAAGCUACCUUAGUGAGGUCAGAACAUGUAGGGAUAAAGUGAGAAAGGCCAAAAGCCAUGGAGAGUUGGACCUUACAAAGGGAAUUAAAACCAAUAGUAAAAGGUUCUAUAGCCAUAUAAAUAAGAAGAAAACAAAGAAAGAAGAAGUGGGACCGCUAAACACUGAGGAUGGAAUGGAAAUUAAGGUUAACCUAGGCAUGGCCCAAUAUCUAAACAAAUACUUUGCCUCAGUCUUUAAUGAGGAGCUUAGGGAUAAUGGUAGGAUGACAAAUGGGAAUGAGGCUAUGGAGGUAGAUAUUACCACAUCCGAGGUAGAAGUCAAACUCGAACAGCUUAAUGGGACGAAAUCGGAGGGUCCAGAUAAUCUUCAUCCAAGAAUAUUAAAGGAACUGGCAUAUGAAAUUGCAAGCCCAUUAGCAAAAAUUUUUAAUGAA